UACGUAGGGUGCAAGCGUUAAUCGGAAUUACUGGGCGUAAAGCGUGCGCAGGCGGUUUUGUAAGACAGUGGUGAAAUCCCCGGGCUCAACCUGGGAACUGCCAUUGUGACUGCAAGGCUGGAGUGCGGCAGAGGCGGAUGGAAUUCCGCGUGUAGCAGUGAAAUGCGUAGAGAUGUGGAGGAAUACCGGUGGCGAAGGCGGCCCCCUGGGCCUGCACUGACGCUCAUGCACGAAAGCGUGGGGAGCAAACAGG
rnacentral:rRNA from 1 species